rnacentral:rRNA from 1 species
AACGAACGCUGGCGGCAGGCCUAACACAUGCAAGUCGAGCGGACCCUUCGGGGUUAGCGGCUGACGGGUGAGUAACGCGUGGGAAUAUGCCCUUCUCUACGGAAUAGUCCUGGGAAACUGGGGGUAAUACCGUAUACGCGCUUUGGGGUAAAGAUUUAUCGGGCAAGGAUUAGCACGCGUUGGAUUAGGUAGUUGGUGGGGUAAUGGCCUACCAAGCCUAAGAUCCAUAGCUGGUUUGAGAGGAUGAUCAGCCACACUGGGACUGAGACACGGCCCAGACUCCUGCGGGAGGCAGCAGUGGGGAAUCUUAGACAAUGGGAGCAACCCUGAUCUAGCCAUGCCGAGUGAGUGAUGAAGGCCUUAGGGUUGUAAAGCUCUUUUAGCUGGGAAGAUAAUGACGGUACCAGCAGAAGAAGCCCCGGCUAACUCCGUG